rnacentral:rRNA from 1 species
GAUGAACGCUGGCGGCGUGCCUAAUACAUGCAAGUCGAGCGAACGGACGAGAAGCUUGCUUUUCUGAUGUUAGCGGCGGACGGGUGAGUAACACGUGGAUAACCUACCUAUAAGACUGGGAUAACUUCGGGAAACCGGAGCUAAUACCGGAUAAUAUUUUGAACCGCAUGGUUCAAAAGUGAAAGACGGUCUUGCUGUCACUUAUAGAUGGAUCCGCGCUGCAUUAGCUAGUUGGUAAGGUAACGGCUUACCAAGGCAACGAUGCAUAGCCGACCUGAGAGGGUGAUCGGCCACACGGGAACUGAGACACGGUCCAGACUCCUACGGGAGGCAGCAGUAGGGAAUCUUCCGCAAAGGGCGAAAGCCUGACGGAGCAACGCCGCGUGAGUGAUGAAGGUCUUCGGAUCGUAAAACUCUGUUAUUAGGGAAGAACAUAUGUGUAAGUAACUGUGCACAUCUUGACGGUACCUAAUCAGAAAGCCACGGCUAACUACGUG